ensembl:antisense E030013I19Rik RIKEN cDNA E030013I19 gene
UGGGUGCCCCCACUAAGACACUGGCUCUGCAAAGAGAUUGGAGAAAGUCACUCCUCUGGGAACAUUUACCCGUGUGCCCAGUCUGUAGAAGCAUGCCCACCGGACUGCGGCAGCACAAACAGAUUUACUGUGGAAAGACUGCCAAACUUGAUUUCCUCUUUGGAAGCCUAUGAGCACCAGAAACCUGGUUUUGGAAGAGGCUGCUUGUCUAGGUGGAGGUAGGUGGAGACUGUGAUGGGGAAGGCAGAUCCCAACUGUUUGCAACCUAAGGCGCUAUGAGAUUCCGUAGGAACAGACUGCGGUCCUUAUUUUAAAACUGACCUGAGUCUGUCCCGCCCCACUCUCUCCUUUGUAUAAUGCUCCUGUCUUUGAAUCCGAACUUAUAUACCAGUGGAGCAUCUCCAAUCCCAGAUUCAUGGGCACAUCUAUUUAGCAUAAGCCAGGAGGAAAGAUGUUGGUAGCAGGCAAAGAGCAGAAUCCGACCCGGAGUGGGCAGUUGCCUGAAAUAUCAGACAUCCUUUCCUCCUGGCUGCGGAGACCUCUGAGAGACAGAGGCAGGACCCGGGAUCGCGCGCCACCAAGCCACCAACCCAACCCAGCAACUUACGUGCGCGCAUCAGGUAUGUAGAAGUCCAGUGAGUAACCGAAGUAGCUGCCCUCGGGGCCACUGUACACAGUGAGCUUGUCCACAUCCAAGUUGAACGCCAGAGACGCAGAGGACCAGAGCAUCCCCAGCGCGGCCGAGACGCAACAGAGACGCGCGAACGGAGGUGCCCGGUUCCCCGGGGGACCACGGUGGGUUCCCGCAGACAUCGCCCUCCUCCCCGAACGCUGCUCACCCGGGAUCGGGAGCCGUGGAGCCCAGAGGAGAAGGCCUGACGCUCCCCAGAGGCCGGUGUCCCGGGUCGGUGAGCUAGGAGUGUCCACAGUGACAGUCCUCUCGUCCUGUGCGGCCCGCCGACCCCGCUGCUCUGGGCUUGCAGCAGCGGAUCCCGCGCUCGACCCUCUCCAGCCCCUGGCUGGGGCCGGCGCGCUCUUCGCGCCCUCUAGCGGCUAGUUCUCAGGCUGCAGGCCGGAGCUUGCGGUCCAGGACUAAGCAAGCGCCUGUUGAGCCCGCUAGAUUUCAACAGCAGUCUCUAGUUUAAGGAGCAUCUAAAUUUUAUGGAUGUCACCUCAAGUCCUUGUUUUGGAGAAGCGGUGUCUCAUAUGCGGCGAGAAUUUAAUGAUUUCCCACAAUUGCGCAGCUCGGAUACAAGCAUACAAAAGAGUAUCCCACCUCCAGAAGAGUGAUUAUCUGGUUGUCACCUCUACCCUUGAGGGCUUCUGAGCACAUGAACAGAACACAAGAAUACUACAAGUUAAAUUAAAGCCAGCAGAUGAAAGUUAAAAUCCCUGGAAUCAAGAUGCCAGGUGGUAUUCCUGGAAGGACAAAGAAAUGUGUCAAAUGGAUUAAAGUUAACCUGCUUUUCAACUGGUUUGCAAGAAGAAUUUGUUCAGAGUAGAUGUUGGAGUGACUCCCCUUAAAGUCACUGAAAGCUGAUUUGUCUCUGCUUGCUCUCAAGCCAAACCAGGGGACCAGUGGCAAUCCUGGGAGUUCUAAAGAAAAGCUCUUUUUAUCAAUCAUAUGGUUAAUGCUCAACCACUGUGUGUUCUCUCUCUUGUUUUUAUCACACUCUUAGGAAAUUAUAGACUUGUAAAAUAUCAAGGCCAGCAAGAUGGCUCAGUAAGGGUCCUGGCUACCAAGCCUGAAGGACUGACCGACCAACUGCUGGGACCCUGGGAUUCAUGUGGUGGAUGGAAAGACAGAGCUGAAUCUUACACAUUGCUCUCUAGCAUGGCACUUUGACAUGUGUAUGAACUCCUUAACCCACAUGCAAUCCAUGUAAUGAAAAAUUGGAGUAUAGUUAAUGUCUCUCUUCAGUCCUUAAUCUUACAGACAGUCUAGUCAUUGUAUGAUCCUGUUUAAAAACCAGUGAUGCUCACAGGUGGAGAGGCAAUGUAGCACAAUGAGCGGGUUCUAUGUAACCUGAGCUUUUCCACCUGGCCUCUUUCUUCCCUGAAAUAAUUAUCCCAUUUAAACUAGUCUAAGUCAUGUCACGUGAUUAGUUACCUCUCCUCAGGUUCAUGUGUCUGUCUCCAUCAGCAUUCUGGGAGAGUCUUUCAUCCCUGAACUUUUUCUAGAACCCAAUCUCUAUCUGCUGGAUGUUCCACCUUCUAAUCCUGCCCCAGCUCAUUGGCCAUGGGCUUUUAUUAACAGGUGAUGCUUCCACUCAGUACAAAAAAAUUUUCUCUACAGUUCUGGAUCGAGACUUGGGAAUCUACAAUCCAGUGUCCCCACCUAUAGGAGCCUAAGUAAUUGCUUUUUCUUAUUCCAAUUUUACCACUUGCAAAAUGGCCACAUUAACAGUAAUUCAUGUGGACUAGUGAAGACAGUAUGAAACAGAUGUCUACACUUAUAUCCAAACGCCAUGGAAAACAAUGUCACUCAUUGUAACAACAUUAGCUUGUGUCCAUUCUCAUAUGUGUCACUGAGAAUUCUGAGUGCUCACUGUUAGUUGGAGUUAACCUGGAAAGUGUCCCAUUCUUGAGUAAAACCAUGUUCUGCUGUCUUGGUUGAGCCUCAUUAGUUAAACUCUCCAAAAAAAGGCAUUAAAUGUCA